rnacentral:rRNA from 1 species
UACAGAGGGUGCGAGCGUUAAUCGGAAUUACUGGGCGUAAAGGGUGCGUAGGUGGUUGCAUCAGUUAGGUGUGAAAGUCCAGGGCUCAACCCUGGAAUGCCGGUGGAAACUGUCGGGCUGGAGUCCGGAAGAGGCGAGUGGAAUUCCUGGUGUAGCGGUGAAAUGCGCAGAUAUCGGGAGGAACACCUGUGGCGAAAGCGGCUCACUGGACCAUAACUGACGCUGAGGCGCGAAAGCUAGGGGAGCAAACAGG